rnacentral:rRNA from 1 species
UACGUAGGCAGCGAGCGUUGUUCGGAGUUACUGGGCGUAAAGGGUGUGUCGGCGGUUCUUUAAGUUUGGUGUGAAAUCUCCCGGCUCAACCGGGAGGGUGCGCCGAAGACUGAGGGACUAGAGUGCGGGAGAGGAAAGUGGAAUUCCUGGUGUAGCGGUGAAAUGCGUAGAUAUCAGGAGGAACACCGGUGGUGUAGACGGCUUUCUGGACCGUAACUGACGCUGAGACACGAAAGCGUGGGUAGCAAACAGG